rnacentral:tRNA from 1 species
GUUUCGCCCUGGCCUCGGAACCGAGGGACCUGCGCUGGCGGCGCAGCUCGGUGUUCCGCACCCUGGAGCGCUUGCCGAUCGUCCCGGAAGGCGACGCUC